UGUUCGAUUUCGGAGAGGGAGCAUGAGAAACGGCUACCACAUCUAAGGAAGGCAGCAGGCGCGUAAAUUACCCAAUCCUGACUCAGGGAGGUAGUGACAAGAAAUAGCAAACCGGGAACCUCAUGGUUUCACGGCAUUGCAAUGAGAACAAUUUAAAACCCUUAGCGAGAAUCAAGUGGAGGACAAGUCUGGUGCCAGCACCCGCGGUAAUUCCAGCUCCACUAGCGUAUAUUAAAGUUGUUGCAGUUAAAAAGCUCGUAGUUGAACCUCUGUCUGGGGCUAGUUUUGGCUUUGGUCAGGCUAGUUCUAGGCAUCCGCCUACAAGACUUAGAGGGCAUUCAGUUGUUCACUAGGAGGAGUAGGCAUUUUACUUUGAAAAAAUUAGAGUGUUUAAGGCAGGCAAUCGCCCGCAUAUAUUAGCAUGGAAUAAUAGAAUAGGACACUUUUCCAUUUCGUUGGUUAUUGGAAUCGUGUAAUGAUUAAUAGGGACAGUUGUGGGCAUUUGUAUUUAAUUGUCAGAGGUGAAAUUCUUGGAUUUAUUAAAGACAAACUAACGCGAAAGCAUUUGCCAAGGAUGUUUUCAUUAAUCAAGAACGAAAGUUAGGGGAUCAAAGACGAUCAGAUACCGUCCUAGUCUUAACUAUAAACUAUUCCGACUCAAUGUUUGACUGGCUUAUAUAACCAGUUGAGCGUUGUAUGAGAAAUCAAAGUCUUUAGGUUCUGGGGGGAGUAUGGUUGCAAAGCUGAAACUUAAAGGAAUUGACGGAAGAGCACAACCAGGAGUGGAUUCUGCGGCUUAAUUUGACUCAACACGGGGAAACUUACCAGGUUAAAACAAUAGUGGGAUUGACAGUUUGAGAGCGCUUUCUUGAUUGGUUGGGUGGUGGUGCAUGGCCGUUCUUAGUUGGUGGAGUGAUUUGUCUGCUUAAUUGCGUUAACGAACGAGACCUUAACCUGCUUACUAGACUGGCGAUCAUCAAUCGUUAGCUCUUCUUAGAGGGACUUUGGUUGUUUUAACUCCAAGGAAGUUUGAGGCAAUAACAGGUCUGUGAUGCCCUUAGAUAUCCUGGGCCGCACGUGUCAUACAAUGACUAGUUCAGAAAGUUUUCUCCUGACCCGAAAGGGGAUGGGUAAUCUUGAUAAUACUAGUCGUGUUAGGGAUCGAUCUUUGCAAUUAUAGAUCUUGAACGAGGAAUUCCUAGUAAGUGCGGUUCAUCAGACCGUACUGAUUACGUCCCUGCUCUUUGUACACACCGCCCGUCGCUUCUACCGAGUGGGUGGUCCGGU
rnacentral:rRNA from 1 species